CGAGUGAGGCGGCAAAAGCUCAAAUUUGAAAUCUGGUACCUUCGGUGCCCGAGUUGUAAUUUGUUAGAGGGCAACUUUGGGGCCGUUCCUUGUCUAUGUUCCUUGGAACAGGACGUCAUAGAGGGUGAGAAUCCCGUGUGGCGAGGAGUGCGGUUCUUUGUAAAGUGCCUUCGAAGAGUCGAGUUGUUUGGGAAUGCAGCUCUAAGUGGGUGGUAAAUUCCAUCUAAAGCUAAAUAUUGGCGAGAGACCGAUAGCGAACAAGUACAGUGAUGGAAAGAUGAAAAGAACUUUGAAAAGAGAGUGAAAAAGUACGUGAAAUUGUUGAAAGGGAAGGGCAUUUGAUCAGACAUGGUGUUUUGUGCCCUCUGCUCCUUGUGGGUAGGGGAAUCUCGCAUUUCACUGGGCCAGCAUCAGUUUUGGUGGCAGGAUAAAUCCAUAGGAAUGUAGCUUGCCUCGGUAAGUAUUAUA
rnacentral:rRNA from 1 species